rnacentral:misc_RNA from 1 species
AAAGUCGUAACAAGGUUUCCGUAGGUGAACCUGCGGAAGGAUCAUUAUUGAAUCCUUAGGAUGUUGCUGGCCUUUUUCGAGGCAUGUGCACUCCGCCUUUCAAUACACCUGUGAACUUAUUGUAGGUUGCAGACGUAACAAUCUGUUGCCUAUGUUUUUAACACACUCUUUAAAAUGUAUAUUGAAUGUCUAAAUAUGGCCUUUGAUGGUCAAUAAACUUUAAUACAACUUUCAACAAUGGAUCUCUUGGUUCUC